UGCGGGCAUCACUGUAAGUUGCUUUGGAUAAAAGCGUCUGCUAAAUGUCAAAUA
rfam:Salmo salar isolate Sally breed double haploid chromosome ssa20, whole genome shotgun sequence.